GAUGAACGCUAGCGGCAGGCCUAAUACAUGCAAGUCGAACGGUGUAGCAAUACACAGUGGCGCACGGGUGCGUAACACGUAUGCAACCUACCUUACAUUGGGGGAUAGCCUUUCGAAAGGGAGAUUAAUACCGCAUAAGACAGUGACUAGGCAUCUAGUAGCUGUUAAAGAUUUAUCGAUGUAAGCUGGGCAUGCGUCCAAUUAGUUAGUUGGCGAGGUAAUGGCUCACCAAGACGAUGAUUGGUAGGGGAACUGAGAGGUCAAUCCCCCACACUGGCACUGGGAUACGGGCCAGACUCCUACGGGAGGCAGCAGUAGGGAAUAUUGGGCAAUGGGCGCAAGCCUGACCCAGCCAUGCCGCGUGCAGGAAGAAGGCGUUAUGCGUUGUAAACUGCUUUUAUACAGGAAGAAACGACCCUUGCGAGGGGCAUUGACGGUACUGUAUGAAUAAGCACCGGCUAACUCCGUGCCAGCCGCCGCAGUAAGAC
rnacentral:rRNA from 1 species